rnacentral:rRNA from 1 species
GGCGGCGUGCUUAACACAUGCAAGUCGAACGAUGAAGCCCUUCGGGGUGGAUUAGUGGCGAACGGGUGAGUAACACGUGGGCAAUCUGCCCUUCACUCUGGGACAAGCCCUGGAAACGGGGUCUAAUACCGGAUAUGAGCCUGGCAGGCAUCUCCCGGGUUGUAAAGCUCCGGCGGUGAAGGAUGAGCCCGCGGCCUAUCAGCUUGUUGGUGAGGUAAUGGCUCACCAAGGCGACGACGGGUAGCCGGCCUGAGAGGGCGACCGGCCACACUGGGACUGAGACACGGCCCAGACUCCUACGGGAGGCAGCAGUGGGGAAUAUUGCACAAUGGGCGAAAGCCUGAUGCAGCGACGCCGCGUGAGGGAUGACGGCCUUCGGGUUGUAAACCUCUUUCAGCAGGGAAGAAGCGAAAGUGACGGUACCUGCAGAAGAAGCGCCGGCUAACUACGUGCCAGCAGCCGCGGUAAUACGUAGGGCGCAAGCGUUGUCCGGAAUUAUUGGGCGUAAAGAGCUCGUAGGCGGCUUGUCACGUCGAUUGUGAAAGCCCGAGGCUUAACCUCGGGUCUGCAGUCGAUACGGGCUAGCUAGAGUGUGGUAGGGGAGAUCGGAAUUCCUGGUGUAGCGGUGAAAUGCGCAGAUAUCAGGAGGAACACCGGUGGCGAAGGCGGAUCUCUGGGCCAUUACUGACGCUGAGGAGCGAAAGCGUGGGGAGCGAACAGGAUUAGAUACCCUGGUAGUCCACGCCGUAAACGGUGGGCACUAGGUGUUGGCGACAUUCCACGUCGUCGGUGCCGCAGCUAACGCAUUAAGUGCCCCGCCUGGGGAGUACGGCCGC